rnacentral:rRNA from 1 species
GAUGAACGCUGGCGGCGUGCCUAAUACAUGCAAGUCGAGCGAACGGACGAGAAGCUUGCUUCUCUGCUGUUAGCGGCGGACGGGUGAGUAACACGUGGAUAACCUACCUAUAAGACUGGGAUAACUUCGGGAAACCGGAGCUAAUACCGGAUGAUAUUUUGAACCGCAUGGUUCAAAAGUGAAAGACGGUCUUGCUGUCACUUAUAGAUGGAUCCGCGCUGCAUUAGCUAGUUGGUAAGGUAACGGCUUACCAAGGCAACGAUGCAUAGCCGACCUGAGAGGAUGAUCGGCCACACUGGAACUGAGACACGGUCCAGACUCCUACGGGAGGCAGCAGUAGGGAAUCUUCCGCAAUGGGCGAAAGCCUGACGGAGCAACGCCGCGUGAGUGAUGAAGGUCUUCGGAUCGUAAAACUCUGUUAUUAGGGAAGAACAUAUGUGUAAGUAACUGUGCACAUCUUGACGGUACCUAAUCAGAAAGCCACGGCUAACUACGUG